rnacentral:lncRNA from 1 species
CAGGGCCCGAGGGAUGCAUCACUGAGGGAGCCGCGACUGGUCUCUGGGCCUGAUGGUAAACCAGGGCUGUUAAGUGUUGCCCAGGUGGCCAGCAAGACAAAUAAGGUGCCUCAAGCUAAGGUAAAUGAGGACCAGAGAGAUGAAGCUCCUGGCUCAAGUGGCCCCUAUCCCAUGAUUCCAGCUCUCCAGCAAUUCUCCCCCACUCCCACCUCUAUUCGAUUCUGGGGCCGAAAGCCAGCAAGGCAGAGCCACUGGGACCUUCCCUGCCUGAGAAGCGCAUAGAAGUAACACCCUCGAACAGGUCCAAGCUGGGCCCAUCACAGAAAACAGAUGUCCACUGAGGGUCCAGCAUCGGGAUUUAGAGCUAUUUUUUACAAUGUUACUGAAUGAAUAAAUU